ACCCCGAGGGAUAGCUCAGUCAAUACAGCAUGAGACGCUUAAUUUCAGGGUCAUGGGUUCAAGACCCACAUGGGGCA